rnacentral:lncRNA from 1 species
CUCCUGUCCACUGUCCCAGACAUCUCACACUGGCCCCGGCCAUAGGGCAGUCCUUAUUAUUGAGCCCUGUGCUUUAUUUCUUACAUUUCGUUUACAUUUUUAUUGUAAAAGUGAUCGAUAAAAUAACCAAACUAUGUAAAAAUAUAAUAAUAAUAAAAUAUAAAAUAAUAAUAAUAAAAUAAUAAUGAUAAUAAUCUGAUUCAGACAUAAACUAAUAACGUUAAUGAACACAGAGAAAUGUAGAUAAUAUGUAGAUAAAGCUACACAUUCGGAUAAUUUCUGAAUUAAACGGAAGUGACAGAAAUAUCGUUUAAUAUGCGACUCGAGGGCGGAUUAUUGACAUUAUGUGAAAUAUUAUAUGAAAUAUGAUGAAUAUGAAUGAUUCUGCGCGAAACUCUUCAUGUAUGAACACAGAAUUUGGUCAUUUCUCACAGUGGAGUAGUGUUGUGUGGUGAUCAGCGGGCACGCAGGAGCAGUAUUGAUCACUAACUGAACACCUGAGUCCUCCUCAGCCCUCAGCGGCGCUGACUCUCUACUCAAGCCCACAGCUGAGGGGAGGAGUAGGGUAAUCCUGCACAACUGGAGUGGCUGCACUCUCAGGACCGCAUUUUUAGGACCGCAUCUUUAGGACCCUAUUUUUUUUGUGACAGCGCCAACUGUCGGAUUGGAUCAAGGAUGCGCUAAUGGACGACACGGAUGACAAGGAAAGUGACAUCGUACAUGCUCUGGGUGUCUUGAGGAGCUUGUCUUUGGAUGAUGCUGAGCAGGUCUUUCUUUCUGGUAAAGAUUAUCAUUACAGUGAAGUAAAAGAAUUUAACAGACAGAUUUACAAACAACUGACGAAAGAAGAGAGACCAUUCAAUAGUCCCUUUAUUUAUCAGGGGUUGCCACAGCAGAAUGAACCACCAACUUAUGCAGCAUAUGUUUUACACAGUGGAUACCCUUCCAGCCGCAACCCAGUACUGGGAAACACCCAUUUACACUUAUAUACUUGAACAUGGGGAGAACAUGCAAACUCCACACAGAAAUGACCACUGGCCCAGCCGGGGCUUGAACCAGCAACCUUCUUGCUGUGAGGCGACGGUGCUAACCACUGUGCUGCCCCAUGUGCUCUAUGCGGGUGAGUGGGAUUGACAAACCACCUGGAGGACACACUCUUGCUGUCUUAAUGCACCAGACAUUUUGUUAUAAAUAAUCAUGUGCGUUUCAUGUUUA